rnacentral:tRNA from 1 species
GGGCGCGUAGCUCAGCGGAAGAGCACUCGCCUUACAAGCGAGGGGUCGCAGGUUCGAACCCUGCCGCGCCCAC